rnacentral:rRNA from 1 species
UACGGGGGGGGCAAGCGUUGUUCGGAAUUACUGGGCGUAAAGGGCUCGUAGGCGGCCAACUAAGUCGGAUGUGAAAUCCCCAGGCUUAACCUGGGAACUGCAUCCGAUACUGGAUGGCUUGAAUCCGGGAGGGGGAUGCAGAAUUCCAGGUGUAGCGGUGAAAUGCGUAGAUAUCGCUUGGAACGCCGACGGUGAAAACAGUCUGCUGGGGGUGUGCUGACGCUGAGACACGAAAGCGUGGGGAUCAAACAGG